AAUUUUCACGUAUAGGGACAUUUGGUGAGUCAAUAAUUAUUUUUAAAAAUUUAAUUUAAUAAAAAUUUAAAAAAAUUACAUGGGUUACAUAGAAAAUGUCGAAGAGUCCCGUCCUUAAGUUAGAGUAGUCCAUGCCUUAUGGAAGAUCAGAAUUCGUCUUAUUUGCCAUUUGACGCGCCUCUGAUUCAAGUGAAAGAAAUGUUAAAGGAAAAACGAUUAUUUGGAAACAACCAUGUACCAAUCCUUUACACCCACCAAAACAACAAGAGAAGAGCUUAUCAUGGUGCGUAAAAACAUGUUUGCAGAAUUGCAAAAUCCUUGGCUGAAGAAUUACUCAGCAUUGAAAAAUGUGCACAGCAAAAACGGUUGGACGUAAUUUCCCGUUUGGACGAACGGGUCAUAAAGGAAAUGGAAGAAUAUUUGCUGUGUUACAUGGCGGGAAGAAUACAUCCUCGACGUCACUUCUGUACUGCAGAAAAAUCAGCAAACCUACAUCCUGAUUUUCUGCCGUUCCCUUAGUCACUAUCCAAUGCUUUUGAACAACAGGAGCAUUCUUCAAUCAGACUGUUCCUUGUUGUCUCAAAGAUGUAUUGCUCGUCAUGCUUGGUGAGAAAUUUCACAGGACUGCUCUGUAAAUUGGUAUCACCUUUACAAAGCCAAACAGGUAUAAAAAAAAUUGUCGUUUUUAAAAAUAUAGAAUUAUUUUGCUUCUCUGCUUCAUUGUACAGCAGAUUGAGAUCAUGUGUCUGUCAACGAAAAUGGCUCUCUACGUUUGUGACAUCAAACUUCCCCAGUGUGUCAUUCUGAUGCAGAGCUUUUGAAAUGACGUUGAACGAUUUGAACCAUCUCAGGCCAAAGCUCAAGUUCUAGAGGUAUUAGAAAAGUCGUCGAUUUUUGGUUAGAGUUUCUACACCGUCCGAUGCAUGAAUCGGAAUGAUGUUCACUUCCUCGACGUCAUUGCUCACAAAACUUUAUUGCAUUAUUCUUAUCUCGAGGUUAUAUCGACCCCCAAAGGUAAAUCGGAAGUACACUCUUUUCCUUGACAUAAAGAACGGAAAUUUAAUGCAUUAGCAAGUCAUCCACAUCUAAACAGAUCAAAAACGUACGAGAUAUCCCUCCUUGUCCGGAAACUUACCAUCCAGCAACGCAUCCAUCAUCAGAAUGGAAAGAGGAAAUUAAUUGAACAAAUGCCUACUCGACGAUUUCCAUGCAAGAUGAAUGUUAAAAUCCAAGGAGAUCUGGUGAGCAUGAUGCAAUGGACUAUGUCAUGAAAUGACCAUUAGCUGUAUACAAUGAAUACCAUCAGUUCCCCAGAACGAGAGGUUAAUAAUCAUACUGAAUCAAAAGAGGCAUCAAGUUAAACAAGAUUUUAAAAUGAUAACAGUUGGAAGCGCAUGUGGAAAUUUCGAAGAACGCUACCUAAACGUUACCUCUAGUCGCUGAUUCAUCUCGAAGAUAAAAUAAGUUAUUUUUAUAAAUUGAAGUGCAUAUCUGGGCUCCCUUCUUUUAUGUGGCCCCGUUUCCCCUUGACUUAUGAUAAGCCCGUAGGGGGUCAUGCCCCUACUGUGAUCAGCAGCAAAGGUUGUG